UACGGAGGGUGCGAGCGUUAAUCGGAAUUACUGGGCGUAAAGGGCGCGUAGGUGGUUUGGUAAGUCGGUUGUGAAAGCCCCGGGCUUAACCUGGGAAUUGCAUUCGAUACUGCCUGGCUAGAGUAUGGUAGAGGGAAGCGGAAUUCCGGGUGUAGCGGUGAAAUGCGUAGAUAUCCGGAGGAACACCAGUGGCGAAGGCGGCUUCCUGGACCAAUACUGACACUGAGGCGCGAAAGCGUGGGGAGCAAACAGG
rnacentral:rRNA from 1 species